UACAGAGGUCUCAAGCGUUGUUCGGAUUCAUUGGGCGUAAAGGGUGCGUAGGCGGCGCGGUAAGUCGGGUGUGAAAUCUCGGAGCUUAACUCCGAAACUGCAUUCGAUACUGCCGUGCUUGAGGACUGGAGAGGAGACUGGAAUUUACGGUGUAGCGGUGAAAUGCGUAGAUAUCGUAAGGAAGACCGAGUGGCGAAGGCGGGU
rnacentral:rRNA from 1 species